UACAGAGGGUGCAAGCGUUGUUCGGAAUUACUGGGCGUAAAGCGCGUGUAGGUGGCGAUGUAAGUCGGGUGUGAAAUCCCUCAGCUUAACUGAGGAAGUGCACUCGAUACUGUGUCGCUUGAGUGUUGGAGGGGAUGGCGGAAUUCCCGGUGUAGAGGUGAAAUUCGUAGAUAUCGGGAGGAACACCUGUGGCGAAGGCGACUUCCUGGCCUGUUCUUGACGCUGAGGCGCGAAAGCUAGGGGAGCAAACGGG
rnacentral:rRNA from 1 species